AAAAAGAUAAGCUAACAAAGCUAUUAGAUUCAUACCCUAAAAUUAAGAAUUUUACUUUCUUUCUUUUUA
rnacentral:tRNA from 1 species